rnacentral:rRNA from 1 species
ACUCCUACGGGAGGCAGCAGUGGGGAAUUUUGGACAAUGGGGGAAACCCUGAUCCAGCCAUGCCGCGUGAGUGAAGAAGGCCUUCGGGUUGUAAAGCUCUUUCAGACGGAAAGAAACGGUCGCAACUAAUACUUGCGACUAAUGACGGUACCGUAAGAAGAAGCACCGGCUAACUACGUGCCAGCAGCCGCGGUAAUACGUAGGGUGCGAGCGUUAAUCGGAAUUACUGGGCGUAAAGCGUGCGCAGGCGGUUUUGUAAGACAGACGUGAAAUCCCCGGGCUUAACCUGGGAACUGCGUUUGUGACUGCAAGGCUAGAGUACGGCAGAGGGGGGUAGAAUUCCACGUGUAGCAGUGAAAUGCGUAGAUAUGUGGAGGAAUACCGAUGGCGAAGGCAGCCCCCUGGGUCGAUACUGACGCUCAUGCACGAAAGCGUGGGGAGCAAACAGGAUUAGAUACCCUGGUAGUCCACGCCCUAAACGAUGUCAACUAGGUGUUGGGGAAGGAGACUUCUUUAGUACCGCAGCUAACGCGAUAAGUUGACCGCCUGGGGAGUACGGUCCCAAGAUUAAAACUCAAAUGAAUUGACGG